rnacentral:lncRNA from 1 species
AUGGAUGAGUGAAUUAAUUUCUAUAAUGUUACAAUAUUUUCACACCCAUCGUCAGACUUCUUCCGACAGCACAGCGAGGCAGGUACGGAUCAUUCCCAUUUUGCAGCUGAGAAAUGUUGAGGCAACAGAAAGGCCUGCAAAGGUUGCUGUACAUCAUUUUGUUGGAACUCCUGGGCUCGUGGACGGCCUGAGUUGAAAGGGACGAAGGUCUUUAUUUGCAACAUAUGGUCUACUGGGAGUCCAGCGUUCUGUGCUUGGGACAGUGGGACUCAGACCCGACUCCUUGUUCCCGAGUCUGAUGGGGAAGGUAGACACGUAGGUACAUAGUUACAACCGGUGUGAUAACGAUGAGACGACUAGGUGUUUCCAAAAAAAUAGUAUGUGCAGGAGAGGAUUUUGGAGUGGUACACAAAGGAGAAUUUUUAAAACUUAAUAAUUAUGUAUUUACUUGUUAAAAAUGGAAUUUUCCCCCUUUUCUUUUUAUGAAUAUACUGUAUAAUACAUGCACAUGGCACAGAUUAAAAAAAAAAGUUUUGAGUGAA